CCAGAUAAUAGAGCUAUUCCUCACUCUCCCAGCCUUGGCUACCCAGAGAAAUUGUUGGGAAGAUUGAAAGAGCAGAUUCGAGGAGGCUAUGCUUCAAGAGCAGCUUUCCAGAACCACACCACAGGACUGGCUGCUUCUGGGCCCCACAGCCACGAUGCCUCUGCACCAAUCAGGAAGCUGCUGGUUUUAGAAUAACCAAAUGUCUCCACCCGUGUUUGCCAGUAAAAUCAUCUCCCUAUGCCUGGUUUCCUCCUCAUCAGGCUUCAUUUUUCCUUCCAUGUUUUGUGAGGAGUCUGUCAUUACUUUUUGCCAUUAAAAGUAAUGGCAAAAUCCGC
rnacentral:lncRNA from 10 species